ensembl:snRNA U4 U4 spliceosomal RNA
AGCUUUGUGCAGUGGCAGUACUGUAGUCAAUGAGGUUUAUCCAAGGCACGAUUAUUGCUAAUUGAAUGUCUCUAAUUGACAAAUGACAAAGAUAUUUUCUUCUUUAUAAUCAAGGUCUUAGCAGUUAUAUGC